rnacentral:rRNA from 1 species
CGAGCGAACAGAUAAGGAGCUUGCUCCUUUGACGUUAGCGGCGGACGGGUGAGUAACACGUGGGUAACCUACCUAUAAGACUGGGACAACUUCGGGAAACCGGAGCUAAUACCGGAUAAUAUGUUGAACCGCAUGGUUCAAUAGUGAAAGAUGGUUUUGCUAUCACUUAUAGAUGGACCCGCGCCGUAUUAGCUAGUUGGUGAGGUAACGGCUCACCAAGGCAACGAUACGUAGCCGACCUGAGAGGGUGAUCGGCCACACUGGAACUGAGACACGGUCCAGACUCCUACGGGAGGCAGCAGUAGGGAAUCUUCCGCAAUGGGCGAAAGCCUGACGGAGCAACGCCGCGUGAGUGAUGAAGGUCUUAGGAUCGUAAAACUCUGUUAUUAGGGAAGAACAAACGUGUAAGUAACUGUGCACGUCUUGACGGUACCUAAUCAGAAAGCCACGGCUAACUACGUGCCAGCAGCCGCGGUAAUACGUAGGUGGCAAGCGUUAUCCGGAAUUAUUGGGCGUAAAGCGCGCGUAGGCGGUUUUUUAAGUCUGAUGUGAAAGCCCACGGCUCAACCGUGGAGGGUCAUUGGAAACUGGAAAACUUGAGUGCAGAAGAGGAAAGUGGAAUUCCAUGUGUAGCGGUGAAAUGCGCAGAGAUAUGGAGGAACACCAGUGGCGAAGGCGACUUUCUGGUCUGUAACUGACGCUGAUGUGCGAAAGCGUGGGGAUCAAACAGGAUU